rnacentral:ncRNA from 2 species
CCAGAACACUAGGGGUGUCCACGAGUUGGGCUGAGAUGCGUCUCGCACGCGAUCCCUUGGAACCUGUCAAGUUCACACUUGCGAAGGGAAUGUGUCGUGAGACCGUA